rnacentral:rRNA from 1 species
UACGUAGGGAGCAAGCGUUGUCCGGAAUUACUGGGUGUAAAGGGAGCGCAGGCGGGAAGAUAAGUUGGAUGUCAAAUCUACCGGCUUAACUGGUAAUCGCAUUCAAAACUGUUUUUCUUGAGUGAAGUAGAGGUUGGCGGAAUUCCUAGUGUAGCGGUGAAAUGCGUAGAUAUUAGGAGGAACACCAGUGGCGAAGGCGGCCAACUGGGCUUUUACUGACGCUGAGGCUCGAAAGCGUGGGGAGC